rnacentral:tmRNA from 1 species
GGGGGUGUUCCGGAUUCGACCCGGAGCCGUAGGGCCUGGCUGCAUGCCGGAGAUGAUGGUUGGCUCCGUAUCAAAUCCAUCAAAAUCAUAUAUGGCGAACAUGAAUACGCCAUGGCUGCCUAAUUAGCGCAGUCACGCAGAAGGGCUGAUACCUGUUAAGCCUGGAAGCGAUCAUCUAGCAGGCAUAGUCCGCUCCGGGCGUCCGGGAGAGGGCCGUACUCCAACAGGACUCUCGCCUCGUGAAAGCGCGCUUUAUCGCGUUCUCGAGGUUAAACUAAACAUAAAGCUAAGCAUGUAGACGCCUUGUCUGAAACCUCCGGACACGCGGGUUCGACUCCCGCCACCUCCACCA